AUUGAACGCUGGCGGCAGGCCUAACACAUGCAAGUCGAACGAGUGGCGGACGGGUGAGUAAUGUCUGGGAAACUGCCCGAUGGAGGGGGAUAACUACUGGAAACGGUAGCUAAUACCGCAUACCAUCGGAUGUGCCCAGUUGGGAUUAGCUUGUUGGUGAGGUAACGGCUCACCUAGGCGACGAUCCCUAGCUGGUCUGAGAGGAUGACCAGCCACACUGGAACUGAGACACGGUCCAGAUGACUACGGUAGGCAGCAGUGGUGAAGAUGGCACAAUGGGCGCAAGCCUGAUGUAGCAAUGCCGCGUGGAUGAAGAAGGCCUUCGGGUUGUAAAGUACGGUCAGCGGGGAGGCGUUACCCGAAGAAGAAGCACCGGCUAACUCCGGGCCAGCAGCCGCGGUAAUUC
rnacentral:rRNA from 1 species